rnacentral:lncRNA from 1 species
AAACAUUUGCAUCUGGGAUGGAAAACUCUGCUCCUUGAUUUGUUUGUGAAAACUGUCUUUCAUGAAUAAGAGAUCAAACCUGAUGCAGCCUGAGCUGAGCCAGCCAGGAAGGGAAUGUGGUGAAUUAUAAAUCCUCCAAGAGAAGAAAAAAGUCUGCACAACUCUCUCAAGCAAAACCAUGACGACGAAGGAAGAACCUUCACCACCGGGGAGCCUAAACAAUGUGCUGCCCAGAGGCUGUCCUGCCAACAGGAAUGGAUCACGCCACUAAGUUCAACAACCACCUGGAUCAAAUAGAUUUCUGAAUUGGCCAGUUAUCUGACUAAACCAGGACUGGCUCACCACCCAGCUACAUCAGGAUGAAUGGCAGCUCUUGACUGAGAACAUCUUCUGAAGUGACCCUGGUAGUAUGAAGUUAUUUUAAAUCUGUGAUAUCUCAUCUGUUUAGCAAUCAAAAAUGAGCUCGACGGCCCCUCCCAGACCGUAUAAUAGGCUGGCUGUUCAAGGAGCACUAGAGGUUUGCAGUUCAAGGCUCACACAGUGGUUCUGCUUCAUAAGAAAAUAGAGCAAAUCAAGAAAGAAACUGUGGAAAAGCCACUCUUUUUAGAAGUUGCCCGGAGAAUGCCAAGGCUCCCGGCGAGCUGCAGUCUGGAUGAGUGGCCGCGGGGUUCCGCCGGGAGACCCGCCUGCCCGAGCCAAGAGAAGCACAUUUCUUCCCACAAUGGGCUGCUUUCUUGUCUUCUCGCCUUCCCUGCCCUCUGUCCAGAAUCACCCUUGGUGCUGCCUCAUUUGGGGGUGCACCGGGCCCUUUGCCUCUCAUGUGGAUUUGAGGAAAUCGGAAGGAGCAGGGGAUUUGACUCUCCUUCAAAAAUCAAGAGCAAAUAACAUCUUCAAUUCCAGAAGUUUUCAAAUUUUUUUUUUUAAGCAGCAGCGAGAUGAGAGAAUUUCCCAAGGGAAUGGAGAUGCUCUAUAUCUCCACUGGGGUGCUGUCUGUAUGGGCAUAAGGAUUUGUCAAAAUCCAAUGAAUGUAUACUUAAUAUGUAUGCUUUUGAUGGUAUGUAAAUUGCGCUUCAAUAAAAC